UACGAAGGGGGCUAGCGUUGCUCGGAAUCACUGGGCGUAAAGGGCGCGUAGGCGGCUAGUUUAGUCAGAGGUGAAAGCCCAGGGCUCAACCUUGGAAUUGCCUUGGAUACUGGCUAUCUUGAGUAUGGGAGAGGUGUGUGGAACUCCGAGUGUAGAGGUGAAAUUCGUAGAUAUUCGGAAGAACACCAGUGGCGAAGGCGACACACUGGCCCAUUACUGACGCUGAGGCUCGAAAGCGUGGGGAGCAAACAGG
rnacentral:rRNA from 1 species